UUGUCUUCAAGAAUCUGAAAAGCUGUGAUGUAGGUGUGGGAAGAAAUGGGUCCUGCCAAGUCCCAGAGAAAAGAAUAUAAAGAAUCAAAUUUUGAUUUAAGCUAUGGUCAGAGACAGAAGAGUUUCUCCCACCCAAAAUGCUUUAACGGUUUCUGAAGAAUGGCAGUGAAGAUGGAUACAGCUACUUUUGAAGUUCACCCAUUGAGUCCCAGAGGGUCUAUAAUUUGUAUCUGUGGAGGAUGGUCUUACUUGUGUCUUACUGUGAGAGGAUGGAUGAACUUGAAGAUCCUUAAAGUAUUGAACCAGGUGUAUUUAUUCAUUUAUUCAUUAUGCUAGAGGAUAAAAUAAAGAGAUAAUUUUAAAAUGGUUCUUUAUU
rnacentral:lncRNA from 1 species